UACAGAGGGUGCAAGCGUUAAUCGGAAUUACUGGGCGUAAAGCGUGCGUAGACGGUUAUGUAAGUCAGACGUGAAAUCCCUCGGCUUAACCGGGGAACUGCGUCUGAUACUGGAUGGCUUGAGUUCGGGAGAGGGAUGCGGAAUUCCAGGUGUAGCGGUGAAAUGCGUAGAUAUCUGGAGGAACACCGGUGGCGAAGGCGGCAUCCUGGACCGACACUGACACUGAGGAGCGAAAGCCAGGGGAGCAAACGGG
rnacentral:rRNA from 1 species